AUUGAACGCUGGCGGCAGGCCUAACACAUGCAAGUCGAGCGGAUGAAGGGAGCUUGCUCCUGGAUUCAGCGGCGGACGGGUGAGUAAUGCCUAGGAAUCUGCCUGGUAGUGGGGGAUAACGUCCGGAAACGGGCGCUAAUACCGCAUACGUCCUGAGGGGGAAAGUGGGGGAUCUUCGGACCUCACGCUAUCAGAUGAGCCUAGGUCGGAUUAGCUAGUUGGUGGGGUAAAGGCCUACCAAGGCGACGAUCCGUAACUGGUCUGAGAGGAUGAUCAGUCACACUGGAACUGAGACACGGUCCAGACUCCUACGGGAGGCAGCAGUGGGGAAUAUUGGACAAUGGGCGAAAGCCUGAUCCAGCCAUGCCGCGUGUGUGAAGAAGGUCUUCGGAUUGUAAAGCACUUUAAGUUGGGAGGAAGGGCAGUAAGUUAAUACCUUGCUGUUUUGACGUUACCAACAGAAUAAGCACCGGCUGACUUCGUG
rnacentral:rRNA from 1 species